rnacentral:pre_miRNA from 13 species
CGGGGCCCUGGCGGGGAUAUCAUCGUAUACUGUAAGUUUGCUAUGAGACACUACAGUAUAGAUGAUGUACUAGCCCGGGUGCCCC